rnacentral:misc_RNA from 1 species
GAUGAAGAACGUAGCGAAAUGCGAUAAGUAGUGUGAAUUGCAGACUUUAGUGAAUCAUCGAAUCUUUGAACGCACAUUGCGCCCGCCAGCACUCUGGCGGGCAUGCCUGUUCGAGCGUCAUUUCAACCAUCAAGCCCCAGGCUUGCGUUGGAGCCCUGCGGCUGCCGCAGCCUCCUAAAAGCAGUGGCGGGCUCGCUAUCACACCGAGUGCAGUAGAUUACUCUUCGCUCAGGGCGUGCAGCGGGUUCCGGCCGUGAAACCCCCUACUUUUAAAGGUUGACCUCGGAUCAGGUAGGAAUACCCGCUGAACUUAAGCAUAUCAAUAAGCGGAGGA